rnacentral:rRNA from 1 species
UACGUAGGGUGCGAGCGUUGUCCCGGAAUUAUUGGGCGUAAAGAGCUCGUAGGCGGUCUGUCGCGUCGGUCGUGAAAACUUGGGGCUUAACUCCGGGUCUGCGGUGGAUACGGGCAGACUAGAGGCAGGUAGGGGAGAACGGAAUUCCCGGUGUAGCGGUGAAAUGCGCAGAUAUCGGGAGGAACACCGGUGGCGAAGGCGGUUCU